rnacentral:ncRNA from 2 species
AUUAUAUUUGAAUAAUAACCUUGUAUAAGUUCAGGAAUAUGGCCUGAGCGUUUCUACCAGCUACCAUAAAUAGCUUGUCUACAAGGAUAGUGAUGAUUGAA